GAUAUUACAAAGGUUGAUGUCUCACAUUGCUUAGAGAAGAGAAAUUCAUUAGCCUUAUAAUGUGGGUUUAGAUGAAGAUAAAGCCAAGGCCAUGCCAUGACAUGACAUGACACUUACGCGUGAAAUGGACCAAGGUCUAUGGCAAUUAUGCCAGAAGAUGUGAAAAACGUUUAAUCGAAUUUGGAUGGCAGGUAUAGCAUUAGCAUGGCUGCAAAGCAUUGCAAGGAAAUUGGUGAGUUGCAUGAGCUUGAGCAAAACAUUGAGAAGGCUAUUAUAUAUUUGGAACAGCUGCUGAUUACUUUGAAAAUCAAGAAGCAAGCUCCUCUGUUGGUAAAAGCAGAAAGUUGCGCAGUUCUCUUCAUCUCAACUUGGCAGAGUAGGUGAAUUGUGCUCAUUUCCCUAAAGCAGAAAUGGGCUUUUCUUAGCGUGUUUCCAACUGUCGAAUCUUUGUUCCAAGUAUUAGAUCAUAGUAAAAGUUCUGGCAAAAAAAAAAAAGAUCAUAGUAAAGGUGCCAAAAUUAGCUAGUUCUAUCUACGCGUACAUUUUCUGUUAUAGGAAGGAAGCAGUUACUUCAACUGCUCUGUGCUUCCUCUGUUAUAUAUUUAUUCAGUAAUAUUGAUCACGUGUAGCUCAAAAUGAGCAUUAAUUUUGAUGAUAAUAAAAUUUAACUAGAAACAA